rnacentral:rRNA from 1 species
GUUCGAUUAGCUUGUUGGUGGGGUAAUGGCCUACCAAGGCGAUGAUCGAUAGCUGGUCUGAGAGGAUGAUCAGCCACACUGGGACUGAGACACGGCCCAGACUCCUACGGGAGGCAGCAGUGGGGAAUAUUGGACAAUGGGGGCAACCCUGAUCCAGCAAUGCCGCGUGUGUGAAGAAGGUUUUCGGAUUGUAAAGCACUUUCGGCGGGGACGAUGAUGACGGUACCCGCAGAAGAAGCCCCGGCUAACUUCGUGCCAGCAGCCGCGGUAAUACGAAGGGGGCUAGCGUUGCUCGGAAUGACUGGGCGUAAAGGGCGUGUAGGCGGUUUGUACAGUCAGAUGUGAAAUCCCCGGGCUUAACCUGGGAGCUGCAUUUGAUACGUGCAGACUAGAGUGUGAGAGAGGGUUGUGGAAUUCCCAGUGUAGAGGUGAAAUUCGUAGAUAUUGGGAAGAACACCGGUGGCGAAGGCGGCAACCUGG